AAAGGCGGGGUACACCCUGGACAAGUCGCCAGGUCAUCACAGGGCUGACACAUAGACACAGACAACCAUUCACACCUACGGUCAAUUUAGAGUCACCAGUUAACCUAACCUGCAUGUCUUUGGACUGUGGGGGAAACCGGAGCACCCGGAGGAAACCCACGCGGACACGGGGAGAACAUGCAAACUCCGCACAGAAAGGCCCUCGCCAGCCAUGGGGCUCGAACCCAGGACCUUCUUGCUGUGAGGCGACAGCGCUAACCACUACACCACCGUGCCGCCCCCUAUACUGAGGAAGCCCCUGUCUCUCAGGUUUUGUUGACUGUUCGUUGUCACAAAGUUCCAUUUCAGGAUACUCAUUCACCAUUGUUCACAAGAUUGACAGGCAUUUGGGUUCUGGGAUGCCAUUUGAGAGGAUUUUGUCAUAGAUAUUCAGGGGUCACAAGUCAUGAUUCAGCAAGGUCUUCUGGCAUACAUAGAUGUUCAUAGGAUCGUCAGGGUAUGAGAGCGUUUGUUCAAGUCAAGUGAGCUAUCUACCAGGUGGGAUGAUUAUGAGAGUGACUGUGUCAGUGUGUAGGUGUGUCCAAGUAGCAGAUUGGACUGAAGACUGCAGAUAAGAAUUGAUCCUUCUCACUCUCCAAAGAAGAAAAACAUCUUACCUGAGGUUCAAUGAACCAGUUGCCGCUUUUUCGUCCAUCCUGGCUGCCACAGUUGUUAUCAAGAAGGUAGGCACUGUACACAGGAAUCUUGUGGUAUGUUGAGUAAAGUGAAGCAUAGAAAUACCCACCAUAGUUAUAUUUCUGGCAGAUUUUCUUGGCAUUUUGAUCCAUGCCCUGUGGUUCAGUGCGCUCAUAAAAGAACUUACGGCACCCGUUAAAAUUAUUAACAACUUCUGCCCAAAUGGGCACUUCUGCCAGGGUCAUGAAGAUGAACAGAGCCAAAAUGAUCAUGGUGUAAAGUUUUGGAGGCAGUCAAGUUCUGUCAAUUCUUUUGCUUUCAAGUUCACAAUCAUAUACCUGAAGACAAGGUUAAAGCUGCACAAUCUGAUUGAGAAGACAGUGGAUGUAGCUUGAAAAUAUAAACAAGUAUAACCUCCAAGUCCCAACCUGUCUCUCUCCACUCUGCUCCGUUGCCUCCAAAGCCCCUCCCCUCAGAAGAGGCUGCCGUGUACCUUGUGAAAUGGCAACGUUGCAUGCCAACAAUCAAGGAAUAAAUCUUUCUAUCCAUCCAUCAUCUGUAGCUGCUUAUCCUGUUCUACAGGGUCGCAGGCAAGCUGGAGCCUAUCCCAGCUGACUAUGGGCAAGAGCCGGGGGACACUCUGGACAAGUUGCCAGAUCAUUGCAGGGCUGACACAUAGAGACAAACAACCAUUCACACUCACGGUCAAUUUAGAGCCACCAAUUAACCUAACCUGCAUGUCUUUAGACUGUGGGGGAAACCGGAGCACCCGGAGGAAACCCACACAAACUCCACACAGAAAGGAAAGGCCCUUGUCGACCACUGGGCUCGAACCCAGAACCUUCUUGCUGUGAGGCGACAGUAUUAACCACUACACCACCGUGCCACCUGGAAUAAAACAGAAAUAUGGCUUAUUCAGCAUCAAUUGUGAAUCCUUUCAGGUCUCGUAGCUCCCUCCACCAAGUGACAGCUAAGGA